UCUAGAGUGAGGCUGCAGUGGAGAGGAUAUCGGGAGAAAGAGGAAGUCAUGUCUGAGCAGAACUUUCAAAACCAGAAAGAUUCUCUGACUGCUGUGUUCAGCAAGGCUGGUGGAAAGGCAAAGCUGCGGCGGGCAGACCAGGACUGUGUUCGGAGGGAGAGCAAACUAUGAUCAUGGGGGAGGAAGGCGUUCUAAACACUGAGGGGAACACAGAACCACGGAGAAUGAAGCAGCUUGCCUAAAGUCAUGCAACUGAUAGACGUGCACGAAGUCACCCGAUUCCAAAGCCCACGAGGUAGGUAAUCCACGG